UUGUGUGUUGUUUUCUGUACUCUUGGCUAAAUGAUGCAUACUAAAAUCAAGAUGUAGUCUUGGCUAUAUAUGAACAGGCAAAUGAGGGGAGAGGAGCUUCAAGAAUUGAGUAUUGAAGAGUUGCAGCAGUUGGAGAGGUCCCUUCAAAUAGGUUUGGGCCAUGUUAUCAACAAUAAGGGUGAAAAGAUUAUGAAGGAAAUAAACCAGCUUCAAGAAAAGGGAGUGCAUUUAAUGGAAGAAAAUGAACGAUUAAGACAGCAGGU